GCCACUGUUUCCUCCCCUUCCUUCUGCACGAGGUGGACCAACAAACACACAGGACAGCAACGGAUGAGUCCGCAAUACAAGCUGUUGGUACAAUACACUGCCUUUUGUUUUGGCUAGGUGACUGCAAAUGAGUGGAGUCAUCUAAGAGGUUAUUUUUGACAAUUAUGGUCUAUCUGGAAGCCUUCCUCAGCGUUAUCUUCUUCAUCAGCGCUCUUCCUCUGGAUUAGGGACGUUUACGACAGCCUCGUUGGGGGAAACCCUUGUUUUGAGAAAUCUGUUGUUUCAUGGAACAUCCGAACUUCCGAGAACGUGAAGGGCAGAAAUAUAGCUCUUACUAAGACCCAUGGACUAGCGGAAUGGGGCGAAUGUGUGUGGAAGGGAGGAGGAAUGAAGGGCGGCUGGGAGAAGGGAGCGGCAGAGACCUGAUGAGAGUGGGGGGGCUGGUGGUGGUGCUCUCCCUCAUAGUGUCCUCUUCAGAAAUGCUCCCCAGUUAAACACCGCUCUGAGGCAACAGGGGGAGCAGUUCUAGUGUGUCGGACACAUUAGCCAUUUUGCCAGACGGGUCAUGUGACCCUCGGAGGAUUAAGGUCUAGUUCUCAUGCAAAGGAAAGUAUCUCGUCGUGCCAAGGGAAUCCUGGCCCUACAUUGCCAUGCGUGCCUCGCCUAAUUCCCCAGGCAUUAGCCUGCCACCAUUGAAUGAGUCUGUGGCAACUGGCAAACGUGCAGAGUUCAGCUGUGGCAUGGCCAAUUCCCUCAAUAAGAUGCUCAAGUUCACUAUGUAUGCUCCCAAGAAAAACCUCAGCAUCACCUGUGUUGGAGAUCAGACUGAUGCGACCGAGGUCAACUUCGACCGCUACUUUGGUGAAUGUAAGGGAGAGCCAAACAACCUGCUGGCCGUGUUGUCCAUCGUUGACGCCAAAUUAUCGGACAACGGCAUUUAUGUCAGAUGCCAGUCCCUUGAAGAAAGCUCUGCUGCAUUCUUAAACGUCGAAGAACCAUCCAACAGCUUCGGUAUCAUCAUUGGCUGCACUAUUGGAGCAUUCAUCACCACUCUACUGGUCUUUGGCGCGCUUUUCCACGUUAUUCGGGGAUCCGAGAAACUACAGCAAUGCUUCAGAGGUCCAGUUGAGGUGGAGGAGGACAUCACCAUGGCCACCGUGGAGUGAGAAAGGAGUGAGAAGUGGAGUGAAACAAAGCUUUUAUUUGCAUGCACUUAUAAGAAUGCACUGCAGAAUGAUGAGUAACUACCUUAAGUUGAAAAGUAGAAAAGCAUAGUUUAAAUCUUUGCGUAGGAUUUUAAUUGAACUAUUAACACAUGUUUGCAAAUAUGUUGACAGCCUAACACUACUUUUGCAAACUGUCAGAUAACCAACAAUAAUUUGAGAGUAUGAUAUUUAUCUCUACAUGUAUUUUAGAGUAGAAGAAUAUAUAUCUUACUUCACUACAAAUAUGAACAAACACCGUACAAAAUACUACCAGGAUACAUUCCUGUAAUAUGAGAGGAUUUUACUGUAAUUUAUUUAUAUUAUAUUUUUAUUGUACUUAGCCAAACAAAUGAAUACUUAUUGCCCAAUAAAUAUAAUUAUUUUCUCGGGUACUACAUUUAUUGUUUAUAUACUUU
ensembl:lncRNA